rnacentral:rRNA from 1 species
CUACGGGUCGCUGCAGUGGGGAAUAUUGCACAAUGGAGGAAACUCUGAUGCAGCAACGCCGCGUGGAGGAUGACACUUUUCGGAGCGUAAACUCCUUUUAUAUAGGAAGAAGAUGACGGUACUAUAUGAAUAAGCGCCGGCUAACUCCGUGCCAGCAGCCGCGGUAAUACGGAGGGCGCAAGCGUUACUCGGAAUCACUGGGCGUAAAGAGCGUGUAGGCGGAUUAAAAAGUCAGAAGUGAAAUCCUAUAGCUUAACUAUAGAACUGCUUCUGAAACUCUUAAUCUAGAAUAUGGGAGAGGUAGAUGGAAUUUCUGGUGUAGGGGUAACAUCCGUAGAGAUCAGAAGGAAUACCGAUUGCGAAGGCGAUCUACUAGAACAUUAUUGACGCUGAGACGCGAAAGCGUGGGGAGCAAACAGGAUUAGAUACCCGCGUAGUC